GUUUCUCUCUGUACUU
rnacentral:sRNA from 1 species